GUUCAAUUCGUAUGUUGUGGUGGUGGUUAGUCCUGGAAUAAGAAAACACAUGGAGCAAAGCCAAGCAGAUAGACCUCAAUGGCAACCAACCAAAUCCAACAAAUUCCAACCAAGCUGAAACUGACCCUCAACAUUCAUGUAACAUGAGUGAAACUAAAUGGUGCUAAGACUAGAGAACAGUUGGAGAGCAGGUAUUUGAUAAACAAAUUCUUGAAAAGAAAGAAAAUUGAAAAAAGACUAACUUGAGAAACAUUGUCAGCAAUAUGAAAAAUAAAACCUAAUCUCAAACUUCAAGAGUUUUAGGUUCAACUGUAAUAAGUUUGCAAAACCAAAACAAAAUAUACACAACUGUACAGAACAUUCAGGUGGCAGCCACUUACUGAUUUUAGCUCAUCUUGAUCAUAUGGUGCUUCAUAAUUUGUACCAGAUCACAGCUUUAUCUUUUUACACAUGUGAAGCUUUACCAGAUGAGACCUUUACCAGCAUAUAGCAUCAACACCUGUUUGCAACCAAUUUGAGUUUCAAACCCAUUCAACUCCUAUGUAGAAUAUGAG
rnacentral:lncRNA from 1 species